UACGUAGGGUGCAAGCGUUGUCCGGAUUUAUUGGGCGUAAAGAGCUCGUAGGCGGUUUGUCGCGUCGGAUGUGAAAACCCAGGGCUCAACCCUGGGCCUGCAUUCGAUACGGGCAGACUAGAGUAUGGCAGGGGAGACUGGAAUUCCUGGUGUAGCGGUGAAAUGCGCAGAUAUCAGGAGGAACACCGGUGGCGAAGGCGGCUCUCUGGAACGCAACUGACGCUGAGACGCGAAAGCGUGGGGAGCAAACAGG
rnacentral:rRNA from 1 species